AUAUUUCACCAUAACACGUAUUUUCUUAUAGAUCAUAGAUUAAGUCAUUAGUUUCAAUAUUUAAAUUUUCAUACAAACUUACACGACAUAAAGACAAAGUCGCUUAUUCUUAACUUAUUUUUUUGUUGGUCAAGUAGCCUAGUGGCUAGAAAUUCCACCCUUAAGAUGGAUAAGUGGGAUGACCAGAGUUCGAACCCUGGCCCCCUGCAUAUAUAAUGCAAUAUCCCUGCCAACUGAGCUAAGCUCACGAGACCGCUUAUUCUUAACUUAAUACAUAAGCUACUGCUACUAUAAUUUAUGUAUCCUUAAUUAGGCAAUAUUGCCAUACUUUGCCUUAUAAUCUUUCCACAGUUGAUCAACCGUUUUCCCCAAAAGCUGAACAAAGUAUUGAUCACUAUAACCAUUCCUCAUCAACUUAUUCAAUUCUGCCAC
rnacentral:lncRNA from 1 species